CUCUUAUCGAGAGCGGCAGAGGGACUGGCCCGAUGAAGCCCGGCAACCUAACUUUAUUUAAGCGUAAAGUGAAGGUGCUAAUUCCAGCAAAAAUGGUGUAUUCCGUUUUGAUAGAUAAGAG
rnacentral:ncRNA from 21 species